rnacentral:rRNA from 1 species
UACGGGGGGGGCAAGCGUUGUUCGGAAUUACUGGGCGUAAAGGGCUCGUAGGCGGCCAACUAAGUCGGUUGUGAAAUCCCCAGGCUUAACCUGGGAACUGCAUCCGAUACUGGAUGGCUUGAGUCCGGGAGAGGGAUGCGGAAUUCCAGGUGUAGCGGUGAAAUGCGUAGAUAUCUGGAGGAACACCGGUGGCGAAGGCGGCAUCCUGGACCGGCAUUGACGCUGAGGAGCGAAAGCCAGGGGAGCAAGCAGG